CCCUGGUCAACAUAGUGUACUAUAAAUAGGGAAUAGGGCCCUAUAGGCCCUGGUCAACAGUAGUGUACUAUAUAUAGGGAAUAGGGCCCUAUAGGCCCUGGUCAACAGUAGUGUACUAUAAAUAGGGAAUAGGGCCCUAUAGGCCCUGGUCAACAGUAGUGUACUAUAUAUAGGGAAUAGGGCCCUAUAGGCCCUGCUCAACAGUAGUGUACUAUAUAGGGAAUAUGGAGCCAUUGGAACUAAUAUAAAGCCCUUUUCUCCUUCCAUUCUGUUAUACACUUUUCCAUAACUUAAUGUUAUAAACUGUACUUUAAAAAACAUAUAACGUCACAAAAUACAUAUUUAUUUACAUUUUUUUGUAUUUUUUAUUUUUUUAAAUAAUUCAUACUAAAAUAGCUAUUGUACAUCCUAAAAAACAUCUGUGGAAUAUUUAAUUAAAUACGUUUAAUUUAAAGGUAGACUCAGCAAUAUGACGUACAUGCAGAAAGUAAACGGCAUAGCGGCUCAAACGUAAGAGUGUUGAAGCAUGAUGCUCAACUUGUCCGCUGUUUUGGUCCCCUGGCUGCCGGGGCUGCGAACAGCGUGAAGCAAACCUGUGCACAUGCGCAGAUACUGUGUGUGACUGGUGUGAGAGAGAGAAGUGUUGCAUCUCGCUCAUCUCAAUAUCUGCGGGUGCUGCUCGUGGCAUCACGUCAGUUAGCUCAGUCUACCUUUUAAAAAUGUCUGAGACUGAAACUGUAAAUAAAAGUUGAAUUGUUCCCAUGGACACAAGAGGUAACUAAGCAACAGUGUUUUUUUCUGAGGUCAGUGUGGGUUUGAACCUGGGUCGACUGUGCGCUGCAAAACUGUGUUAGCCUGUUGAGCUAAAGCCCAAGCAAGGUUGCGCAUCACACAAGAGUGUAUUUCAUUGAAGGUUAGCCAUGUCGGUUGGACCCAGCAGUGAAAGGCCUUUUAGGGUGUGUUGAAACCAGACAGCCUGGCCUACUUGUUGGCCCCGCCCUGCGGAGAGGGAGCCUCUGGACCAGACGUCUCACUGGCUCAAUGUUCUUUGGGGUUUUGCCAAUCGUAGCCAUGUAUACUCUUGAGGUCAAAAGUGAGAAGGUCAAGGCUUUUUAAAGGUCAUGUGACAUCGCUGACUGUACAUGUGUUACGUCUAGACCCAGUGAUCCUGUCUAUAAUGUUACAUCCAGACCCAGUGAUCCUGUCUAUAAUGUUACAUCCAGACCCAGUGAUCCUGUCUAUAAUGUUGCAUCCAGACCCAGUGAUCCUGUCUAUGUUACAUCCAGACCCAGUGAUCCCAUCCAUGUUACAUCCAGACCCAGUGAUCCUGUCUAUAAUGUUACAUCCAGACCCAGUGAUCCUGUCUAUAAUGUUACAUCCAGACCCAGUGAUCCUGUCAGUGAUCCCAUCUGUAAUGUUGCAUCCAGACCCAGUGAUCCUGUUAGAUCCAGACCCAGUGAUCCUGUCUAUAAUGUUACAUCCAGACCCAGUGAUCCUGUCUAUAAUAUCCAGACCCAGUGAUCCUGUCUAUAAUGUUGCAUCCAGACCCAAUGAUCCUGUCUAUAAUGUUACUGACUGUCUAACCGGCUACUGACUGUACAAGGUAGGACUCUGGUCAAGUAAUGUACAAUAUAGGGAAAAGGGCCCAUAGUUUUCAGGUCAACAGUAGUAUAUAUAGAAUAUGACUCCAUUUGUAAUGUAGCCUGUGGGUGGCAGUAGACCACAGUCAUAGGGUUGCAUCUCAAUAGUCUACAGAGGCUUCCUCGCCUCCUCUCCUCAAGCUCCUCUCCUCACUUCUUUUCCUUAAAGGGAUACUUUGGGAUUGUGGCAGUGAGGUUCUUUAUCUACUUCCCCAGAGUCCGUUGAACUCGUGGAUAGUAUGUUUAUGUCUCUGUGUCCAGUAUGAGGGAAGUUGGAGGUAGUUUUGCGAACCGAUGCUAACUAGCGUUACCCAUAGACUUCCAGUCGUUGCGCUAUCUGCUAGCAUGUUAGCAGGUCUCAUUGCCCAACGUAUCCCUGUUA
ensembl:lncRNA